GAUGAACGCUAGCUACAGGCUUAACACAUGCAAGUCGAGGGGCAGCAUGGUCUUAGCUUGCUAAGGCCGAUGGCGACCGGCGCACGGGUGAGUAACGCGUAUCCAACCUGCCUUACACUCUUGGACAGCCUUCUGAAAGGGAGAUUAAUACAAGAUGUUAUCAUGAGUAAGCAUUUUCGCAUGAUUAAAGGUUUACCGGUGUAAGAUGGGGAUGCGUUCCAUUAGAUAGUAGGCGGGGUAACGGCCCACCUAGUCUUCGAUGGAUAGGGGUUCUGAGAGGAAGGUCCCCCACAUUGGAACUGAGACACGGUCCAAACUCCUACGGGAGGCAGCAGUGAGGAAUAUUGGUCAAUGGACGAGAGUCUGAACCAGCCAAGUAGCGUGAAGGAUGAAGGUUCUAUGGAUUGUAAACUUCUUUUAUACGGGAAUAAACGAAUCCACGUGUGGAUUUUUGCAUGUACCGUAUGAAUAAGGAUCGGCUAACUCCGUGCCAGCAGCCGCGGUAAUACGGAGGAUCCGAGCGUUAUCCGGAUUUAUUGGGUUUAAAGGGAGCGUAGAUGGGUUGUUAAGUCAGUUGUGAAAGUUUGCGGCUCAACCGUAAAAUUGCAAUUGAUACUGGCAGUCUUGAGUACAGUUGAGGUAGGCGGAAUUCGUGGUGUAGCGGUGAAAUGCUUAGAUAUCACGAAGAACUCCGAUUGCGAAGGCAGCUUACUAACCUGUAACUGACAUUGAUGCUCGAAAGUGUGGGUAUCAAACAGGAUUAGAUACCCUGGUAGUCCACACGGUAAACGAUGAAUACUCGCUGUAGGCGAUAUACAGUCUGCGGCCAAGCGAAAGCAUUAAGUAUUCCACCUGGGGAGUACGCCGGCAACGGUGAAACUCAAAGGAAUUGACGGGGGCCCGCACAAGCGGAGGAACAUGUGGUUUAAUUCGAUGAUACGCGAGGAACCUUACCCGGGCUUAAAUUGCAACCGAAUAUGGCGGAAACGCUAUAGCUAGCAAUAGCGGUUGUGAAGGUGCUGCAUGGUUGUCGUCAGCUCGUGCCGUGAGGUGUCGGCUUAAGUGCCAUAACGAGCGCAACCCUUGCCGAUAGUUACUAACAGGUUAUGCUGAGGACUCUGUCGGGACUGCCAUCGUAAGAUGUGAGGAAGGUGGGGAUGACGUCAAAUCAGCACGGCCCUUACGUCCGGGGCUACACACGUGUUACAAUGGGGGGUACAGAGGGCUGCUACCACGCAAGUGGAUGCCAAUCCCAAAAACCUCUCUCAGUUCGGAUUGAAGUCUGCAACCCGACUUCAUGAAGCUGGAUUCGCUAGUAAUCGCGCUUCAGCCACGGCGCGGUGAAUACGUUUCCCGGGCC
rnacentral:rRNA from 1 species